AAAACGGAGAGUUUGAUCCUGGCUCAGGAUGAACGCUGGCGGUAUGCUUAACACAUGCAAGUCGAACGCACCUUUCGGGGUGAGUGGCGGACGGGUGAGUAACGCGUGAGAAUCUGGCUUCAGGUCUGGGACAACCACUGGAAACGGUGGCUAAUACCGGAUGUGCCGAGAGGUGAAAGGUUAACUGCCUGAAGAUGAGCUCGCGUCUGAUUAGCUAGUAGGUGUGGUAAGAGCGCACCUAGGCGACGAUCAGUAGCUGGUCUGAGAUGAUGAUGAGCCACUCUGGUACUGAGACACGGCCCAG
rnacentral:rRNA from 1 species